rnacentral:rRNA from 1 species
AACGAACGCUGGCGGCAUGCCUAACACAUGCAAGUCGAACGAGACCUUCGGGUCUAGUGGCGCACGGGUGCGUAACGCGUGGGAACCUGCCCUUAGGUUCGGAAUAACUCCCCGAAAGGGGUGCUAAUACCGGAUAAUGUCUUCGGACCAAAGAUUUAUCGCCUUUGGAUGGGCCCGCGUUGGAUUAGCUAGUUGGUAGGGUAAAAGCCUACCAAGGCGACGAUCCAUAGAUGGUCUGAGAGGAUGAUCAGCCACACUGGGACUGAGACACGGCCCAGACUCCUACGGGAGGCAGCAGUGGGGAAUAUUGGACAAUGGGCGAAAGACUGAUCCAGCAAUGCCGCGUGAGUGAUGAAGGCCUUAGGGUUGUAAAGCUCUUUUACCCGGGAUGAUAAUGACAGUACCGGGAGAAUAAGCUCCGGCUAACUCCGUG